rnacentral:rRNA from 1 species
UACGAAGGGUGCAAGCGUUAAUCGGAAUUACUGGGCGUAAAGCGUGCGUAGGCGGUUGGCUAAGUCAGGUGUGAAAGCCCCGGGCUCAACCUGGGAAUUGCAUUUGAGACUGAAUAGCUAGGGUGCGGAAGAGGGAAGCGGAAUUUCCGGUGUAGCGGUGAAAUGCGUAGAUAUCGGAAGGAACACCAGUGGCGAAAGCGGCUUCCUGGUCCAGCACCGACGUCAGGCACGAAAGCGUGGGGAGCAAAC